ACGGUCCUAAGGUAGCGAAAUUCCUUGUCGGGUAAGUUCCGACCUGCACGAAUGGCAUAAUAAUGGCCACACUGUCUCCUCCCGAGACUCAGUGAAAUUGAAAUGUUUGUGAUGAUGCAAUCUCCCCGCGGCUAGACGGAAAGACCCCAUGAACCUUAACUGUAGCUUUGCAUUGGACUUUGAACCGAUCUGUGUAGGAUAGGCGGGAGGCUUUGAAGAAUGGACGCCAGUUCAUUCGGAGCCGUCGUUGAAAUACCGCCCUGAUUUGUUUGAGGUUCUAACCUGGGCCAGUGAUCCUGGCUGGGGACCGUGCAUGGUGGGCAGUUUGACUGGGGCGGUCUCCUCCUAAAGGGUAACGGAGGAGUGCGAAGGUACGCUAAUCACGGUCGGAAAUCGUGAGGAUACUGCAAUGGGAAAAGCGUGCCUGACUGCGAGACAGACAAGUCGAGCAGAUGCGAAAGCAGGUCAUAGUGAUCCGGUGGCUUCUGUAUGGAAGGGCCAUCGCUCAACGGAUAAAAGGUACUCCGGGGAUAACAGGCUGAUACCGCCCAAGAGUUCAUAUCGACGGCGGUGUUUGGCACCUCGAUGUCGGCUCAUCUCAUCCUGGGGCUGUAGAAGGUCCCAAGGGUCCGGCUGUUCGCCGGUUAAAGAGGUACGCGAGCUGGGUUCAAAACGUCGCAAGACAGUUUGGUCCUUAUCCACUGUGGGCGCAGGACAUUUGAUGAGAGCAUUCCUUAGUACGAGAGGACCGGGAAUGACUGACCUCUGGUAUUCCAAUUGUGUGUAAACACGCAGCGUUGGGUAGCUAUGUCGGGAAAGGAUAAGCGCUGAAAGCAUCUAAGCGCCAAGCCCCCUCAAAGACUAGAUGUCCCCGAAUAGUAAUAUUCCUGAAGGCGGGUCGUAGACGACGACCUCAAUAGGCCGGAUGUGUAAGAACAGUAAUGUUUUCAGCUUACCGGUACUAAUCCGCCGUGAGGCUUGACCAC
rnacentral:rRNA from 1 species